rnacentral:tRNA from 1 species
GGGUCGUUAGCUCAGUUGGUAGAGCAGUUGACUUUUAAUCAAUUGGUCGCAGCUCAAAGAUUC